rnacentral:lncRNA from 1 species
UUCAAAAGUUCAUGGAAUUACAGGCAUGAGAAGUGCAAUGGUUUGUUAUAUUAAGUUGGUAAUGAACCUUUAAGUACAAGAUUGCUGUCAGGCAUACAAGUUAUAUACUUUUUCACAUUCAUAAGUCAAUAAUCAUACUCUGAUCUCUAGUUCUGAUCUCCAGCUGAAAAAGCACUUAAGUGCUAAUUUGCAUUGCUAAAACUAGAUUUUUUUUUAUAGGUUAUGUUUACUUGAGCCAAGGAAAUAAUGGUUUGAAAUGUUCCCAGAGCCUCACAUGCUACAGCAUUGCAACUUCUGGUACAUUGCAAAUGAGACAGACAGGUGUGAUCUGCUAUCCUCUCUUUGUUCCAGCCAGGUGGAUUUGUGCUGGGCUGUGGUGACUGAAAUGCAGCAGCUUUACCCCUGGGAUUCAGCCCACUGGGGCUGAUGAACAGAGCUGCCUUGAGUGGCGUCCAGGAGCUCUGAACUGACACAGCACAGACCCGGCAUGACUGGAAUUCCAAGCCCCCUGCAAGAUUAUCAAUUUGAAAACAAAGCUGCGUGCAGAGUGGGAGCAUGUCUUUGACUUCCCUUCAUACCUGCACACAGAGUCCUUUCCACAUUCCUAAGUACUCCAUUGGGAAGUUAGAGGGCAUCAUGUCUGAAGAGAUUUGGCCUCUCAGAAAUGCAGCCCAGCUUCUGAUCAGACUGAGAUGUGUGGGCAGGCCCCAGCCAGCAUUGUGCAAAAUAAGAGUUUGUUUACAGAUAAAGAAAUAACACAAAGGUGCAGUGGAAUGAAUAUAAAACUUCA